rnacentral:rRNA from 1 species
CCUACGGGACGCAGCAGUAGGGAAUAUUGCACAAUGGGCGCAAGCCUGAUGCAGCCAUGCCGCGUGUGUGAAGAAGGCCUUCGGGUUGUAAAGCACUUUCAGCGGGGAGGAAGGCGUUGAUGCUAAUAUCAUCAACGAUUGACGUUACCGACAGAAGAAGCACCGGCUAACUCCGUGCCAGCAGCCGCGGUAAUACGGAGGGUGCAAGCGUUAAUCGGAAUUACUGGGCGUAAAGCGCACGCAGGCGGUUGAUUAAGUUAGAUGUGAAAUCCCCGGGCUUAACCUGGGAAUGGCAUCUAAGACUGGUCAGCUAGAGUCUUGUAGAGGGGGGUAGAAUUCCAGGUGUAGCGGUGAAAUGCGUAGAGAUCUGGAGGAAUACCGGUGGCGAAGGCGGCCCCCUGGACAAAGACUGACGCUCAGGUGCGAAAGCGUGGGGAGCAAACAGGAUUAGAUACCCGUGUAGUC